GCUUUCUAGGAUAAGAACACAACAGUAACAGCACAACAAUCGACCUCUUGGUGAUCAAUGCUCUUGAAACGCUAAUAGACCUUCUUUCAAAAUAAUGCAUAAUGCAGCAUUCUUAAUUGUUAAUGCAGCAAAAGGCAAGACUAAAGAGGGCUGGGGAAAAAUUCUUUAACGUGCAACUGAGUUAGCCCCUAAGGCCCAGACAAAAAAAUGUGACCUAAAUGUAUCGUUACCAGGUAUUAUUUAAUAUUUAUAUAGUGCCUCAAAUGGAUCCAGCCCAACAUCAGAGUGUGCCAGAGAAAUAAAAGCCUGAGCCCUAAGGAGUUUAUCAUCUGCAAGCAAAGUCGAUCCAAAUCAGAACACCCACGGAGGAAUGAGUUGAGUGAGGGAUGAUUUGACCAAAAAACGCAUUGCCAAGUGUAAAGCGGCACCAAGAACAGGCGCCAGGCUCCAUCUGCUGUGAAAAGGAGCUUAUUCUUCGUGAAGAUGCCCAUUGCAUUACGGGGGCAGCUUGGAUCUUAUUCUAAGUGUCUCAAGCUUCUAUCAGCUCAUGGAUCCACACAUCUGUGUAUCUCACUGUCGGUGUGGUGUUUGAUUUUCUGGUGGCCAUGGAACUCUCCGUUGUAAAGAAAAACAUCUUCUCUCAGCAAGUAGGCAAAACUACCAGCAAGUGUGAGCUGCUGGUGUACAGCAAGUGUGAAAUGCAGCAAAGACUCACAGACCUCAGAGUUUGGUCCACUGGACCCAGGCCCACUGCUGGAUAAAAGGUGCAGCACCCACUGGCCACUUCCACGGUUUACAUCUUGCUUCAAGGCCUUGUGCCCGAUCAGCUGAGCCCCUGUGCCAACCCUCAGUCUAAUUACAGGAGUAAGAACAACCCUACUACCAUGAGGACACAAUGAGCCUAAUCCAGAAAGUGUGGACAUCCUGCAAGACAAUCCCUCUGGCAGGCAAUAAGUCAAUGACAAGUGGAGGAAAAGAAAAAAAAAAGAGGCUGAGGCAGGCGGAUCACUUGAGGUUAGAAGCUGCUAAGACAAAUACGAGAUCUUCUGAGCGUGCCAGCCCAUCCAUCUGCACCAGUAACUCUGUCUUCAUCCGCAGGCUUCCUUCAUGUUCUCCCCUACAGAGAGACAAGACGUGAUUCUCCUAAGUGUCAGAGCCUUCGCCCUCAUGACAAGAGCAGCAUUCACAGCAAUGUCCCUGUGACUGUAGAACAGUUUCUGUUCUGAUGGCCAAUGGAGCCGUUCAUACUAGAGUUAGAGAAAAUGAGCAAUUUGCUGUUAUUUUCACAUACAGUAUGAUAGAAAGCAAGUAAAUGAAUAUAAUGAUGGUAUUUGAAAGAAAACCAAAGGCAGGCAGUGAGCUGGAGAAAAUAACUAAAGGGUCCACAGUCCCACUGGUAGAUUAAAUGCAGCCCAACUGUGUCUACCUGCAGCAUUAUUUACCUCUUUAAAAAUGACAUAAUUGAGGAUAAUCCCUUUCACUUACAUAGCACACAGGAAAGUACUUUCACACCCUCAGCCUCCUGAGUAGCUGGGACCUCAGGCACAAGCCCCCUGCCUGGCUAGGUAUAUGUUUUUUUAGGAUCUAUGCCCCUUAAUACUCAACUACCUUUGCCUAAGAGAGAAGACCGUCUCUCUCUAUAUAUAUAUGUGUAUAUAUAUAUAUAUAUAAUUUAUUUAUUAUAUAUUAUAAGCAUAAUAUAUAAUUAGCAUUUGCCCAUAUAUUUGCUAUAUGUUUAAUUAUCAUUUGCCCAUAACUAUAAUUCCUUUAACAUAAUAUUAUCGAAGUCUUCAGAGCACCCAUCCCUAUUUCCUGACCCUUUGAAGACUCUUAAUUUUGGAGUCUUUGAUCCCAGACAGGGAAAUGGAAAUUCGGGGCAGAACCUGGAGCACACACAAGGAUAGCAGAUGAAGAGUCUUCACAUUAGCUCGAUGAAGGUUGUGGGAAACUGGGGACAGAGCUCGACAAAGCACACGUAACAACAAGUGCAUAGGGAGACCUGGUCUUUGUAGAGUGACUAUGAGGGUGGGCUGGUGCAUUCCCAUCUAGGUGCCUGUGCAGUUGCCUGCUUCUAUCAGGCCUGGUAUAGAAAGCAGAGUGCUCCAGCCUAGGGCUGACAAGCACCAGCUCCAGUUAAGCUGAGGAAAAUGUCCUGUUUCAAUCAAUUACAUGAAUCCCAUAUAUUACUUGGGUACAUCUUUAUGGUUGCUUUUCCCUGCUGGGAAAAUGGUUUCCAAUGAGUAAAAUUUCAUAAAUUAUAUUAUAGUUAUACUUCCAACAAGCUAAUUAAUUGUGUUUUAUUACUAUUACUUCUGCCUUGAUGAUAGUCCAUUAAAGGUCAUUAAUAAAUGCAGCUGUGUUGAGAUUU
rnacentral:lncRNA from 1 species